AUUGAACGCUGGCGGCAGGCCUAACACAUGCAAGUCGAACGAGUGGCGGACGGGUGAGUAAUGCCUGGGAAUCUAGCUUAUGGAGGGGGAUAACUACGGGAAACGGUAGCUAAAACCGCGUACCAUCGGUUGAGCCCCAGUGGGAUUAGGUAGUUGGUGAGGUAAAGGUUCACCAAGACGACGGUCUCUAGCUGGUCCGAGAGGAUGACCAGCUACACUGGGACGUAGACACGGCCCAGACUCCGACGGGAGGCAGAAGUGGGGAAAAGUGCGCAAUGAGGGAAACCUGACGCAGCCAUGCCGCGGGAAUGAAGAAGGCCUUCGGGUUGUAAAGUUCUUUCGGUGGCGAGGCGUUAACUACAGAAGAAGCACCGGCUAACUCCGUGCCAGCAGCCGCGGUAAUUC
rnacentral:rRNA from 1 species